UACAGAGGAGCCAAGCGUUGUCCGGAUUGACUGGGCGUAAAGCGCACGCAGGCGGACGCGCGCGUGGGGUGUGAAAUCUGGCCGCUUAACGGCCAGGCGCCAUCCCAUACGGCGGGUCUGGAGCCUUGCAGAGGUCGGUGGAAUUGCCGGUGUAGUGGUGAAAUGCGUAGAGAUCGGCAGGAACACCAGUGGCGAAGGCGGCUACCUGGCCCACUCUUGACGCUGAGGCGCGAAAGCUAGGGGAGCAAACGGG
rnacentral:rRNA from 1 species